rnacentral:rRNA from 1 species
GACGAACGCUGGCGGCGUGCCUAAUACAUGCAAGUCGAACGCUUCUUUCCUCCCGAGUGCUUGCACUCAAUUGGAAAGAGGAGUGGCGGACGGGUGAGUAACACGUGGGUAACCUACCCAUCAGAGGGGGAUAACACUUGGAAACAGGUGCUAAUACCGCAUAACAGUUUAUGCCGCAUGGCAGAAGGGUGAAAGGCGCUUUCGGGUGUCGCUGAUGGAUGGACCCGCGGUGCAUUAGCUAGGUGGUGAGGUAACGGCUCACCAAGGCCACGAUGCAUAGCCGACCUGAGAGGGUGAUGGGCGCCACUGGGACUGAGACACGGCCCAGACUCCUACGGGCGGCAGCAGUAGCGACUCUUCGGAAAUGGACGAAAGUCUGACCGAGCAACGCCGCGUGAGUGAAGAAGGUUUUCGGAUCGUAAAACUGUGUUGUUAGAGAAGAACAAGGACGUCAGUAACUGAACGUCCCCUGACGGUAUCUACACAGAAAGCAACGGCUAACUACGUG